rnacentral:rRNA from 1 species
GAUGAACGCUGGCGGCGUGCCUAAUACAUGCAAGUCGAGCGAACAGACGAGGAUCUUGCUCCUCUGACGUUAGCGGAGGACGGGUGAAUAACACGUGUAUAACCUCCCUAUCAGACUGAUAUAACUUCGGAAAACCGGAUCUAAUACCAGAUAAUAUCUUGCAGCGCAUGGUUCAAUGGUGAAAGACGGUUUUUCUGGCACUUAUAGAUGGAUACGGGCCGGAUUAGCUAGUUGGUGAGUUCACGGCUUACCAAGGCUACGAUGCGUAUCCGAACUGAUAGGGUGAUCGCCCACCUUGGAACGGAGACACGGUCAAGAGUACUACGGGAGGCACCAGUAGGGAAUGGUCCGCAAUGGGCGAAAGCCUGACGGAGUAAGGCGGCGUCAGUUAUGAAGGCGCUGGGAGCGUAAAACCCUGCUAUGAGUUAAGAACAAAUGUGUAAGUAAAUAUGCACGUAUUGACGGUAAUUAAUAAGAAAGCACCGGCUAACUACGUG